AGAGUUGUCACCAGGUGGCACCAUUAACCUAAGUUAUGUUUCAGUGAGGUGAAUGCAAUGAAGUUUAUGUUCAAAAGGAAUUUAGUAGAGAGAUUGCUCUUUUCACCUUCCUUCAAAGUAAACAAACAGUACAGAGAAUAGGCCAAAUACUUCUGUUCACUGGCACGUUGUAGAUUAUUUCAUGCAUUUGCAGUGCUAUAAUAGGGUGAAGAUUCUUCCCUGCUUUGUGUAUGAUAGCUUCAAAAAGAAAGCAACCAGACAUGGAACUACCUUUCACACUUCAUUGCCAGCGGCUCUUGCAUGUGAUGUCCUUGGAUGCCCAAAAGAUUAGCCAGUCUCAUCCAUCUGGCCCAUGUCACAAGGAUCAAGGAGAUUUCUCCAUCUACAAACUUAAGCUCAUGCUCUCUGAAAGUGAAGAGAACAAAUUGAAAGUUAGAAUCUGA
rnacentral:lncRNA from 1 species